ensembl:snRNA U6 U6 spliceosomal RNA
UUGCUUUCGGCAGCAUGCAUACUAAAAUUGGAACAAUACAGAGAUGAUUAACGUGGCCCCCGCACAAGGAUAACAAGCAGAUUCGGGAAGCACUCCGUAUUUUA